rnacentral:sRNA from 1 species
AGUAUUGACUGCCGAAGACAGUAGGUGCCGUAAGGCGUAAGGUUACAGCCGCCUACCGAGGAACGUACAAUUUGUAUUAAAUGACGAAUUUGUAGAGCCCCUCUGUCUUGCACAGUGGGGCUUUUC